UACGUAGGGGGCAAGCGUUGUCCGGAUUUAUUGGGCGUAAAGAGCGUGUAGGCGGCCUGACAGGUCUGCUGUGAAAACUCGAGGCUCAACCUCGAGAUGUCGGCGGAAACCGUCUGGCUAGAGUCCGGAAGAGGAGAGUGGAAUUCCUGGUGUAGCGGUGAAAUGCGCAGAUAUCAGGGAAGAACACCUAUGGCGAAGGCAGCUCUCUGGGGACGGUACUGACGCUGAGACGCGAAAGCGUGGGGAGCGAACAGG
rnacentral:rRNA from 1 species